rnacentral:rRNA from 1 species
UACGGAGGGAGCUAGCGUUAUUCGGAAUUACUGGGCGUAAAGCGCACGUAGGCGGCUUUGUAAGUUAGAGGUGAAAGCCUGGAGCUCAACUCCAGAAUUGCCUUUAAGACUGCAUCGCUUGAAUCCAGGAGAGGUGAGUGGAAUUCCGAGUGUAGAGGUGAAAUUCGUAGAUAUCGGAAGAACACCAGUGGCGAAGGACGGCUCACUGGAGCUGGUAUUGACGC